CAGCUCUUGACAUGGGACGUUUGACCCCGAGAGAUCGAGGUCUUCAGUUCGGCUGGCGUCCACACAGGUGCUGCAUGGCUGUCGUCAGCUCGUGUCGUGAGAUGUUGGGUUAAGUCCCGCAACGAGCGCAACCCUCACCUUCAGUUGCCAUCAGGUUAUGCUGGGCACUCUGAAGGAACUGCCGGUGACAAGCCGGAGGAAGGCGGGGAUGACGUCAAGUCCUCAUGGCCCUUAUGGGCUGGGCUACACACGUGCUACAAUGGCGGUGACAGAGGGAAGCAAAGGGGCAACCCCGAGCCAAUCUCCAAAAGCCGUCUCAGUUCGGAUUGUUCUCUGCAACUCGAGAGCAUGAAGCUGGAAUCGCUAGUAAUCGCGGAUCGGCACGCCGCGGUGAAUA
rnacentral:rRNA from 1 species